rnacentral:RNase_P_RNA from 1 species
GGAGUUGGCCAGACAGUCGCUGCGGACCCCACGUCGCAGAGGAAAGUCCGGGCUCCACAGGGCAGGGCGCCAGGUAACGCCUGGGCGGCGCGAGCCGACGGAAAGUGCCACAGAAAACAUACCGCCGAUGGUCCCCGCCUCCGGGCAGGGGCACAGGUAAGGUUGAAAAGGUGCGGUAAGAGCGCACCGCGCGGGUGGUAACACGCCGUGGCAAGGUAAACCCCGUCCGGAGCAAGGCCAAAUAGGGGUGCAUUGGUGUGGCCCGCAUUGCACCCGGGUAGGCUGCUAGAGGCGUGUGGUGACGCGCGCCCCAGAGGAAUGAUUGUCCACGACAGAACCCGGCUUACCGGCCGACUCCCCUC